CCUGUGGUUAAUCAUUCCAGCAGCAGGCCUACUACACUUGGCAGUUGGAAGGCAGCCUAAUAGUUGUUUUACAGACGCUUUCCACACACUUCGCAGCAGCAUUGAAGACGACAAGCGUCAAGAAAGUCGACUCCUCAAAAAUGUACAAGGAUGAAACUGGGACCACGAGUAGCAGUCUCACCAGAGUCUCCACCUGUGAGAAGAGCCCUCUGACCUCUGGUGGCAUGCCUCUGAGAAUUUGGACAGCUUCUUUGCAUGAAGUCAGCUCCUCCAGCUUCACCAGAUUUCCCAGGCUCACCUGAUCAAAACGCUCAUGAAGCUGGGUGGUCGCCAUGUCAAUGGCACUGAAAAACUGGACCCGGAAAUACUCCUCUGGUGUCGCAGGAGUAUGAUGCUUGGCAGGACCACCAUGUUUACUGGAUGGCAUUCGGACAUGAGGUAACUGUAUUUGCUGGAGAUCCAAGUCUGCGGCAAAAUCCACAGCUUUGUCAUAGAUGGCCUUGAACGCAUCAUCGGCCCUCAAAGAGAGAAAGCCCUGCCUAACAUAUUCAACGGCUUUCAGCAUUCCACUGAUGGUCUUCCCUCUUGCCUGCAGACUUGAGUUCAGCCCCUCCAACCUUGUGAUGACUUCUUGACCCAGGAGAAGGCCAAGAACGGUGUUUCCAUUUUCCAGCUUCUGAAGAACACCAUGUGCUCUAGAGGCAGUGUUGUCGUUGACCUUUGCAGCAGAGGCCAUCUCCUCCAGCGCACUCAAGAUGGCGUUGUACAGGCUGAGGACUGCUCUGAUGGCUGGAGCACGCACAGUCCAUCUGGUGGCACACAGAGGCUUGAUGGAGGUGAAGGAGCCUGUGGUGGACAUGGCAAUGUCUUUGAAAGUGGUCUUGCAUUUUCCAGACUGGGCAAGUAAGCAUCCCAGCUCAUGGAUCCAAUGCAGGGCAUCCCUUAUCACCGGUGUGGAUUUGCACGUAGCCUGUGUGACAAGGUUUACACAGUGUGGGCCACAGUGGACAAAGUUGGCCAAUGGUUGCUGUCUCCGGAUCAGAGCUUGUGUCCCUGACAAGUGCCCCGACAUGUUGGCUGCGCCAUCGUAGGUCUGCCCACGA